rnacentral:lncRNA from 1 species
AGACAGGAAAAACACCCAAAAGGUAAAGGCCAGGCUGGUUCAUGCCGGACACCUAACCCCCUGCUACCACAUGCUGUUUUCCACACUGGGUGCUGGCCUGUGGGAACCUGCACAAGUCGGGGGCAACAUGGUCCCAGGAAGUCUUUGACAGGCUGCCCCCUGCUGGCUGCUGCGGGAACCACAUGGCAGAUGGCUCCUGGUGUCCCCUGGAAGUCAGGUCUUGCUCUGUCACCCAGGCUGGAGUGUGUGGUGCGAUCAUGCCUCACAGCAGCCUUGACAUCCCCAGGCUCAGAUGAUCCUCCCACCUCAGCCUCCUGAGUAGCCGCGACUACAGGCGCAUGCCACCACACCCAGGGUCCCAUCCAGAUACCACAUGACACCCGGUUGUCCUGUCUUCGGAGGCUCCUCCUGGCUGGGACAGCUUCUCAGACUUUCCUUGCUGCGAUGGCUGCUCAAGCUUUGAGGAGUACAGUCAGUGUUCUAUAGAACGUCUCUCUCGCUACUGAAAUUCGUCUAAUGUUUUUCUCAUGAUUAGACUGGGGUUGGGCAUGUUUAGAAAGAAGACCACAGAAGUAAAGUGCCUCCCUCAUCACACCGUGUCAAGGGUACACACCACCACGUGACUUCUCCCUGUCGCUGCUGACCUGGCCACCUGGCUGAGGCAGGAUUGCUCAGCUUCCUCCAUUCUCAGCUUUACACUUGUGAUCUCCUUUCCACGCUGCACUCGCUGGAAGGGAGUCACUGUAUGCAGCCA